GAUUAUGGCUCAGGAUGAACGCUAGCUACAGGCUUAACACAUGCAAGUCGAGGGGCAGCAUGUUGGUUGCUUGCAACCAAUGAUGGCGACCGGCGCACGGGUGAGUAACGCGUAUCCAACCUUCCCCUUAGUAGGGCAUAGCCCGGCGAAAGUCGGAUUAAUACCCUAUGUUCUUCGUAGAUGACAUCUGAAAUGAAGCAAAGGUUUACCGCUAAGGGAUGGGGAUGCGUCUGAUUAGGCAGUCGGCGGGGUAACGGCCCACCGAGCCGACGAUCAGUAGGGGUUCUGAGAGGAAGGUCCCCCACAUUGGAACUGAGACACGGUCCAAACUCCUACGGGAGGCAGCAGUGAGGAAUAUUGGUCAAUGGGCGCGAGCCUGAACCAGCCAAGUAGCGUGCAGGAAGACGGCCCUAUGGGUUGUAAACUGCUUUUAUGCGGGGAUAAAGUCGCCCACGUGUGGGUGUUUGUAGGUACCGCAUGAAUAAGGACCGGCUAAUUCCGUGCCAGCAGCUGC
rnacentral:rRNA from 1 species